CACUAAGAAGCUAGACAGGAACAAGCGACAGCCUUUUAAGCUGUAGACGGGUGACUCCUAACCACCCUUAGUGA
rnacentral:tRNA from 1 species